CCUCUCUCAGUUCGGAUCGAAGUCUGCAACCCGACUUCGUGAAGCUGGAUUCGCUAGUAAUCGCGCAUCAGCCACGGCGCGGUGAAUACGUUCCCGGGCCUUGUACACACCGCCCGUCAAGCCAUGGGAGCCGGGGGUACCUGAAGUACGUAACCGCAAGGAUCGUCCUAGGGUAAAACUGGUGACUGGGGCUAAGUCGUAACAAGGUAGCCGUACCGGAAGGUGCGGCUGGAACACCUCCUUUCUGGAGC
rnacentral:rRNA from 1 species